rnacentral:lncRNA from 1 species
GAAAUUGUCCCCACCAAAGAACAAGGAAAUCAUGGGACUUCCCCUUUAAGUUUCCUGUUUCUCAGCAAAUCAAAGUGUGCUGCUGUUGUCCAGUGUCUGAAAACAAUUUUCAGAUGUAGGAGGGGCGGCGGCGGCGGCGGCAUCAAGGACGUAGGAGGGGCGGCAGCGGCGGCGUGUAGGAGGCAGGAGGGGCGGUUAACCACCAAUCGGCUAGCUCUGGCCACCUCAAAAAGCAGCAGGGACAAGGAUGGCAGCAGAAGCCAGAGGCCUCUCGGGUCACGGUGGGGGUGCAUACUGUCACUGGAGUGCGCGAGGAAGGCCACAAGGAAGAUCUGGGAUAUCUGCUGCCACUUAGCCCCUAUCACUCUGAAAUCAAUCAUCUACAGUGAAAUCAAGGAGACUAUUUCUACAAUAGCAUCUUCAGUCAUCAUCCUCAGCCUUCAAGAACAGACACAAGAGGGCUUUCCAAGAAAGAUGAAGCUCCUCUGACUAAUGUUUCCCUGACGUUUUGAUAAAGGUGGUGUCCUUCAAUAUCUUCGAUGAGAUGUAGUAAGAGUGUGUAUUAGUUUGCUAAUACUGCCAUAAUAAAAUAUCACAGACUGGUUGGCUAGAACAGCAGAAAUUUAUUUUUCCACAGUUCUAGAGGCUGGAAGUUCAAGAUCAAGAUAGGGUUGGUUUCUCCUGAGGUAUCUGUCUUUGGCUUGCAGACAGCCAUCUUCUCAUUGAAUCCUCAUCUGGCAUUUCUUCUCUACAUGUGCAUCCCUAAUGUCUCUUCCUUUAUUUAGAAGGACACCAGUAAUAAUGAAUUAAGGCCCCAUCCUUGGAACCUCACUUGACAUUAAUUACCUUUAAUGGCCCUGUCUUCAAAUACUCACGAUAGUCACAUAAGUCUUCAAAAUAUGAAUAAAUAGGGGGACAUAAUUCAGUCCACCACAUACUCUUCUUUCUUAACAUAUCUUAACAUAGUAGACCUGGUGAGGUGGUCAGUUGCAGUUCUCCUGUAUGCAGGAUCAAAUUGUGCUCUGGCUUUGAGUUAUACUGGUAUCUGGAGUUCUGUUUUGGUACAUUUUGGUAUGUAGAGUCCUGUAACUCUAAAAGAGAAGAUGUUAUUUUGAGGCAGUCGCAGCAGAAGCUCCCUGGUUUUCUGAUGAUGUCUGAGCAAAUCUUUUAAGACCCUGACAUCAUUUCCAUCAUCUCUCUGGCGUACUCGGAAAUAUCCAGCCCACUAUACAGUUUCUGUAGUCUUCACUGCAAGAGCAUGCAAAUAUUGCAAUAGCAUCUUUGUCUCCCAAAACUGUAUCUUUAAUAUUAGGCACUUAAUUCUGUGCAAAUAUAGGUAACAAUUUAUGUCACUCUUUUGCCAUGAACUACUGAUAUCCCAGAGAUCAUCACUGCUUCAAAUCUUAGUUAUUGGAGAUAUCUAAUAACCAAUUGAGACAGCCACUGCAAAAGCCCAUGCUAUUCUGUCACUACUUCUAACUGAAGAAUUAAACCUAUCUCACUUUCUAUUUUUAAGUCUCUUAUGACCAUCUUUCACUGAUCUACUCUAAACAAAAACAUUGAUAGCAAGGAAUUCUGGGAAAUGUAGUUUUACACUUCCAGCCUGUAUCAUACAGGGAAGACCAUGAAAGGUACUGAAUGCCAGUGGGCAGAUACCUGGCACACACUCUUUCUGGAAGUCAUUGGAGGAUAUCCUCCACAAAAUGGAAGAUUAAACCAAAAAGGAAGACAUCAUGAGAUCCUAGAAACUCAGAAUUCAAGACAGAAGAAAGACAAAAGAACUUUCCCAGAUGAUGACAAAGGAAGUCCUAGGAUAACAGGUAUAUUAGUUGCCUAUACAGCAGCAGCCAACCCAGAUUAGAACAGAGGGAUGAAGAAAUUUAAGAGAAGACUUUAAGGAAAAUAAAUGAAACUGAUAGAAUAGUGCUCCUAUGUUGAGAAAAUGUUUACAGUUAUUUUGGAAAGAUAAGAAAGAAUUAAAUAUAAAACAAGUAUAGCUGGGUGCACUGGCUCAUGCCUGUAAUCCCAGCACUUUGAGAGGCCAAGAAAGGUGGGUCGCUUGAGGUCAGGAGUUCAAGACCAGCCUGGCCAAUGUAGUGAAACCCCAUCUCUACCAAAAAAUACAACAUAAUUAACCAGGCGUGGUGGUGCAUGCCU